UACGUAGGGUGCGAGCGUUGUCCGGAAUUACUGGGCGUAAAGAAGCUCGUAGGUGGUUUGUCGCGUCGUCUGUGAAAUUCCGGGGCUUAACCUCGGGCGUGCAGGCGAUACGGGCAAUACUUGAGUGCUGUAGGGGAGACUGGAAUUCCUGGUGUAGCGGUGAAAUGCGCAGAUAUCAGGAGGAACACCGAUGGCGAAGGCAGGUCUCUGGGCAGUAACUGACGCUGAGGAGCGAAAGCAUGGGUAGCGAACAGGAUUAGAUA
rnacentral:rRNA from 1 species